UACAGAGGUCUCAAGCGUUGUUCGGAUUCAUUGGGCGUAAAGGGUGCGUAGGCGGCGCGGUAAGUCAGGUGUGAAAUCUCGGAGCUUAACUCCGAAACUGCAUUCGAUACUGCCGUGCUUGAGGACUGGAGAGGAGACUGGAAUUUACGGUGUAGCGGUGAAAUGCGUAGAUAUCAGGAGGAACACCGAUGGCGAAGGCAGGUCUCUGGGCCAUAACUGACGCUGAGAAGCGAAAGCAUGGGGAGCGAACAGG
rnacentral:rRNA from 1 species